rnacentral:rRNA from 1 species
GAUGAACGCUAGCGAUAGGCCUAACACAUGCAAGUCGAGGGGCAUCACAUGAAGUAGCAAUACGGAUAGUGGCGACCGGCGCACGGGUGAGUAACACGUAUGCAACCUGCCUUCAACAAGGGGAUAACCCGUUGAAAGACGGACUAAUACCCUAUAACACAGGGGUCCCGCAUGGGAAUAUUUGUUAAAGGACAACCGGUUGAAGAUGGGCAUGCGUUCCAUUAGCUAGUUGGCGGGGUAACGGCCCACCAAGGCAACGAUGGAUAGGGGAACUGAGAGGUUUAUCCCCCACACUGGUACUGAGACACGGACCAGACUCCUACGGGAGGCAGCAGUGAGGAAUAUUGGUCAAUGGACGCAAGUCUGAACCAGCCACGUCGCGUGAAGGAAGACGGCCCUACGGGUUGUAAACUUCUUUUAUACGGGAAUAAAGUGCCCCACGCGUGGGGUUUUGCAUGUACCGUAUGAAUAAGGAUCGGCUAACUCCGUG